rnacentral:lncRNA from 1 species
CGUUCGAGGUAAGUAAUGUUUCACUGUUUUUAGAUUUAUCGAUAAAUUAUAAUAUAUUUUUCUGACAUGAUUUGUAAAACGAUGCAUGAAUUGGAUGAAUGAUAUUUUGUUAUGAAAAUAUCUUAUUUGAAAUGUUAUGAUGAAGCAUGAUUGAACAUAUUGAUUUCAUGAUGCAUUAUAUUGAUUGAUUUCGAUACUACAUGAUUAUAUAUUUUAUUAUCGAAAUUAGAAUAUGAAAUAUG